rnacentral:lncRNA from 1 species
UCAAGGAUGAGUUUGAAAAGAGAUGUGAUGCUGUCAAAGGCGCCUUAAUGUGUCUCGAGAAAAAGAUUGAACAGAUGGUCCAAUCACACAAUGCAAUGCUAAAGAGGAAAGCACUUGGCCAGCCUACCCUUGAUCCAAAAAUUAUUGAACACUCCAAGAAAGCUUCAAAGUCUUUGGAUCAACAAAUUUCUCCUCAACCUGCAUCAAGAGGCAUUUAGUUUCCCACUGGUUUCUCAGGCCCUCGGAACCCACAACCUUCAACUGCUACAUCAAGCAAGAUAACCAAGCAAGAUGAAGUCGAAGCCAAGAAACAAAAGAGGUCUCAUCCCACUGAAGCCCAACCCUCUCCACCUGUGACACCCUUGAUUUGAUCGUACGCUAAUCAUACACGCAAAUGCGUAUGACCAAGCUCAAGGACUCACGGGAAGAUAUCACAACACAACUCUAGACACAAAUAAAACAUACAAGCUUCAUAUUACAAGCCAGGGGCCUCGAGGGCUAGAAUACAGAAGCUCGAUAAACACACGAGUUAGCGUAAGCAACAAAUAUCUGAGUCCACACAUGAAAUAUGACGAUGCCUUAGAGAAGGCUAGCACAAAAGAGAUAACGAUCGAACGAGGCGUGGCCUCCUGCCUGGGAACCUCCUAAGCUACUCCUGGUCAUCAGCGGCCUCCCCGUAGUAGCAGACACCGUCGGGGGAGCAGUCGUUGUCGGCGGGAUAUGCCAUCUCCUGGGCUCCAUCAUCUGGUCGGAGUAACGUACCAAGGGGAAAAGGGGAGCAAAGAAACGGUGAGUACUCAUUCAAAGUACUCGCAAGACUGACAUUAGAACUAUGCUAAGUUAUGCAUCGGUAUCAAAGGAAGGGGUCAUAUGUGGACUCACUGCAGCAAUACGAGAAUAGAGAGAGAGGGACUAGUCCUAUCAAAGACUAGCAUCUUCAGGGGUCUUGCAGCAAUAGACGAGAGUAGAGCAAGUAACACAGAUAUAUAGUCAUACUGUUGCAGUAAUAUUAAUUAUAGUCACGCCCGGAGAUCCUCCCUCGACUCCCUGUGAGGAAGCAAUCCUUUAGCAAACAUUCCAGUUAAGUAACAGUUGUAGUUGUAUAAGAUCAGGGUGCAACUCCAAAUCGUCCUGUAACUAUGGACACGGCUAUUCGAAUAGUUAAUUUUCUUCCCUGCAGGGGUGCACCAAGUUUCCCGCCACAAUUGAUAAACUCUGGUCGGACACACUUUCCUGGGUCAUGCCUGGCCUCGGCACAUCAACACGUCGCAACCCCACCUAAGCUCAACAGAGAGGCCAGCCUGCUGGUCUAAAUCCUAAGCGCGCAGGGGUCAUGGGCCCAUCACCCUUUGCGCUCCUGCACAAUGCAAGGGCGGGCGAUGUCAAUCUUGUCACUUCUUAUACACGAACGAUGAUUAUCCAUGCCACUCGGGCGCGCGCCGCUCCAUUGCUGAGGUCUGAAGAGCUUCGGCUGAUACCACGAUGUCGAGAACCCAUAACUCCUCACAUGUAGACGGUUAGUGCACAAAAGGUCUCCAACCAACCCAGAUCAAAUACCCAAAUCCUUAGCAUUUUAAUUAUUCAUCGACACAUCCACGCGGGUAUCCACCCGCCAAACAUCAUUCAUCAAUGUUCCCAGUAGCACGGUCAAGUAACUGUGUGGUUGUAACAUUAGAGGGAUCGGAGGUAUCACCCUCUACGGAUUCCGAAUGAUGUAACUGUCAAGGUGGGCAGGAAGGAAUCACCCAGGCUGGGCCAGGUUGAUGGGUUGUACGACAGAGUCGUUAUCAGAGGUGGUGAACGAGGAAUCACCCUCUCAGAACCACCGCCGGUUAAUUACACUACAGAGCUAACAUCAGGAGUACGUAUCGAGGUGUCAUCCUCGGUACUCGAUAGUAGCCUUACAGCGUCGUACAACUAAGGGAGGGUGUAAGUGUUGUGUCGGGUCUUGGCUCGUCGAUUAGUUGAUCGAGACUUGACGAUAAAGCGAGGGCAACUGGUCUAAGGGGUCAAAGGGGAUGAUUGUGCCACCUAUACUAAGCAGUUUAAAGUGCGGUAUUGGAAAGUAGCACUUCAUAAAAAACAGGCUAUGCAUCAGCUAUAGGAGCUAACUACAACAGUAGCAAAAUUCUAAUGCAAGCACGAGGGAGAAAGAAAUAUGCGAUAUAGGAAUGAUCAAGAGGGUUUGCUUGCCUGGGUACUCUGCAGACAAAACGGAUCCUCGACCGGGAAGUAGUCAAUCACCGGAUCAUCAUCGGUCUCGGGGUCUACCAGAAAGGAAGUAACGUAGGGGAAACACGAUAAAUAACAGAGCAAUCAAAUGCAUCACAAAGAAUGGCAUGGCUAAAGGCAGAGCUAGGCAUGAGCUAACGUGGUACUAUACGUCAUCGACGGAUCGGAAUAAUAUCCGACGAUAUUUUCCGGGUCUCUGUCUAUUACUUAUCAGGCGAAAUGGAUGGAAAAGUUCCAUGUUCGCUAUGCUAGGUACACGUGAUAGACGAACGGAUAGCGUAUCCGGGUUCGUCUCGUUUUUGUGAUCAACUUUCAUGUAUAAAUUAUUUUCAUCCGAAUUAUUAUAUUAAUUUUUAAUGUUUUAAUAAUUAUUUUAUAAAUAAACAGAUUUAACUUUGUUUUAAUAUUUUAAAUGUGACAACAGCAUGAUGGCAUGCUGUCAUCAGUAAUCAAUAGUGGGGUUGAGUGGUCAAUUUGACCAAUGGGCUCCACCUGUCAUAGUCACACUUCAAAUCUAGGCUUAACUAAUUAAUAAACAGGUUUGAUUAGGUGUAUGGGAUCCACAUGUCCUACCCUCUAUUAAAUUAACAGAAUUAAUUAAUUAGAUUAGGUUUAAUUAAUCCAAUUAAUUGCUCUAAUUAAUUUGAUAGGUUAAUUAGAGGUUAAUUAGGCUACUUAAUUAGCUUAUUAAUUAAUUACCUAAUUAAUUAACUUGGUUAAAUAAAUUUAUUAAUUUGUUAUAUUUUUAUUUACACAUUUAAUUUAUUUAUUUUCCUUUUUUAGUACACGUUUUAGGGGGAGGCCCCACAUGUCAUCUAGUGGGAAAUUGCUAACAAAGGGGGGGUUAAUUCGCCUGACCAAAUUGGGGUUGGGGGCGACGCGGUUGUGACCAAUGGGGAGAGGCCGAGCGGGGUUGGCGCCGGCGACAUGUGAGGCGCAGGAGCAUGCAGCGAGGUUGGCCGUGGAGUAGCAUCAGCAGGCGCGCGGCCAAGGCGUGGCUCACGCAGGCACGCGCGCGCGUGGCGCGUGGCAGAGGUGGGGGGCGCGACGGCAUGCGGGCGUAGGACGUGCAAUAGCUGCAGAGUAGUGAAGGUAACAUUGGACUGGCGAUGCGGCUAGUGGCAGCAGGCGGCUCGGCGUCGCGGUGGGCGGAGCUCCACGGCGAGAGCUCGCCAAAUCGGGAGGGGACACCGAAGCGACGCGGCGCCGAGUGAGGGCCGGUGCGGCCGGGCUGGUAAGGGUGCGCACGGGAGGGGAAAGGGGAAGCGGGGUGGCGCUCACAGGGGGGCGGCGAGGUAGCACCGGUGUGGUAGGGCGUCGGGGACGGCGAGCGGUGGGGCAGGGUCAGGACGGCGAGGGAGCAACGCCGGAGCAGCGUGGGGCUUGGGUUGAAGGAGGGGAGGGUGCAGGAGAGAGCGCCGGUSGCGGGGGUGGGGGCUGGGGGASGACCGGUGAGGGAGCG